GGGUUAAAUCAAGCGGGCUGGUCCUUCGAUGCGCCUCGCACUCUGUGCUGUCGCGGGACGAGAUCCAACAGUGAGCUAAGCAUGUAGUACCGGGCGUCAAGCGCCUUCGGACGCGGGUUCGACUCCCGCAACCUCCACCA
rnacentral:tRNA from 1 species